AAGGAAGCAAGCGCCGAAGUUCUGUAGGUUUUUAAUCUGAUCAGUUCCUGUGGAUUGCAAGUUAACGAGCCUGGUCCUCUUUUUUUUGCUGGGGGGGGGGUGAGCUCCGGACUUGCAAAGCCAGCCCGCGAACUUCCGAAAAAGGGUGUUGAUACCGCUUUUUUUUUUUUUAAAGGAGGAGGUGAGAUAGGACGAGUAAGGAAUCUUUCCCCCCACCACCCUCCUUGAACAGGGAGAAGCGCGUGUGAGUGAGUGCGCGCGCGCGUAUUUCUCGCGGCGGGGAAAGUCUAGAGUUUUUCCACGCCGCUUUUGUUUUUUCAAAGUGACAUCAGCCUGAUGAGUAUUAAGCCCCCCUCCCCCUUCGACAAUUAAAAGGAACAAACCCAACUUUGCGCCCGAAACCUGGAUUGGCUACAGACUCCCCCUGGCAAUGGAACUCCUCAGGAUGAUUCUGAUGGGAGAUGCCAAUGGACCUUUCAUGCACUUUCUAGAAGCAGGAACAAAGCGGGGAAAUGUACAAGGAACUGUUUGCAAGCAUGACUCACCUCCACAUUUAUAAGUUCGUUCCCGGGCCUUCACAUCUGUGCACAAAAGUACGCCUGGCUUCUUCAGUAAAUGCUCACUGAGCACAGAGGGACUUAUUUCUAUCUAAAACAUCAGCAGAGCAUCAGGCUUCCUAGGACCACACGAAGAACUCCUUGGGGGCUAGUGGGACACUGCCUCGCCAACCUCAGUCUGCCAUCAGCCAGCCACCACCUGCCUGUCUUCUGACUUAUAACCAGUUCAGAGGUAUUCCAAUUGAACUCCAUUUAUCAAGCGAUUAUGGAUUAAACAGUAACUCAGGACUGACAAUGAAAAUGUUACCAAGAGGGCGGAGAAGAAUAGCUUGAAGAAAACCAUGCAAGUGACUUUGCCAUUGUGGGCAAGAACAAGCUUGUGCAAAUAUUAGCCAGGAAACACAGCUCUUUUAUUCUGCUGGAAGGACUGUUUUGUUUUUGCAGCCUGGAAAAGUUUGUUUGCCAGUCGAUGCAACUAUUCAUUAACACUAUGGAUUGUGUGACCAGGUUUUGUUUUUUAAAAAAAACCCGUCAAUCUUUCUAAUAUAGUGUUUUCUCAGCUAAAAUCCAUAGAACCUUCUGUGGAGUUCCUGAAUAGGAAGAUCACACAUGAUGGAAAAGCUUCCUUUAAAGUAGGGGUGGUUAUUAAGCUGUGGAUCUCAGAUUCUGAUGGACUGCCAUCUCCCAUUAGCUCCAGCCACCAAAGCCAACGGUCAGGGGUGAUGGGAGUUGGGUGCUGAUAACAUCUGGAGGGCACCAGGUUGGAGAAAGCUGUUUUAAGGUGGUCUGCUAUAUCCAAUCCUCUUGUGCAAGAUGCAGCUGCAGGAACAUCUACAUUGCAUCCUCAGUUCAAGUAGGUCAGCCAAGAACCUCAACAGGAAUGGCGAACUUUGCCCUAACAUAGAACAUGCCCCAGAAUCCUUGGCAACAUGCCCUCAGCAGACAAGCAGAUAUUUCUGCAGCACUUGCAGCAUCCCUGGCUGCCUGGUCUGAAAAAGCCCCGUGGGAGGAAUUACCUCGUGAUGCAUUUCCCUUGCACUUUAAUUGAAGCGUGGGCACCUGGGAAGGCUGCAGAGUGCAGCCCACCGGUGAGAUGAUUCAUAGAAUGAAAGAAAGGGUACUCACAAACAUCCCGCCACCUAGAAAUUAAGAGGAGCCCAGGUCAGCAAACAACAAACAAUACAUCUUAAAAACAAUUCCAAUACAGAUACAGACCGGGAAAGGUCUCUACUUCAAAGACUUGUUGAAAGAGGAAGGUCUUCAGUGGAUGUUCAAAAGAUAACAGAGAUGGUGCCUGUCUAAUAUUUAAGAGGAGGAAAUUCCAAAGGGAAGGUACCACCACACUAAAGGUCUGCUUCCUAUGUUGUGUGGAAUGGACCUCCUGAUAAGAUGGUAUCUACAGGAGGCAGAUCACCUGAAGAGCGCAGUAAUUGACUGGGUAUAUAAAAGUGAUGGUCCUGCCACCAGAAUAUUGGAUCAGAGGAUGCAGAGGAAGGCAUGGUAGGCUGAUCAAAUCUGUGAUCUGGCAGUUCCCUGGCCUUAGUCUACUACACUGACUGGCAGCAACCUCCUCUUUUAGACAGGGGCCUUCCCACCCCUACCUGGAGAUGUCAGCUUCUUCCACAGAGAACAGGUUCACAUUCUUCACUGACUUUCUGGCAAGGACAUUGGCCCUAGUUCACAUAAACAAAAGCAGAAGGACUGGCAAAACAAUCCUCUGACUUUUUACUAUGUGGGACUGCUAGUGGAGAAACCUAUCUCUGAGUGCCCCCUUGUAUUUUUUUUUAUCCUUCCAAAUAGUACAAUGACAUAUCAUAUGAUGACUUCUGUCACCCUUCUCAGGGUGGGGUUGGGGAGCAACAACCCUGACUGUCAGUAUCCCCAGACCUGGAUAUUUUGUCUGGCAAGGUUCAUAAGAGGAAGGGGAAAAAAUCCUAAGCCAUAAGGAAGUUCAGUGGCUACAAACUUCAGACAUGCAUGUUGAGGAACAUCAGAGGCAGAAUUCAUACCUCGGAGCUCUUUUCCAUUAUCAAAUGGGAUCCCCAGUCUCGCAACUUGAAAACAUGCGUCUCUUUGGAGAAUUGCUCAAACAUACAGCGUGCACGGCAUGAAGCACUCAUAUUUCUAAUCCUCUUCAGAAUGGUUUUAUUUUCGGUGGUGGGGGAAAAUGAAAAACAGCAGCUCGUACUAGAAAGGAGAUGGAGAGGAAGUCAAAGAAUCCUUGGCUGGAGAGCUGAGAAAGUGUGGCAGAAAUCAAAUAAUCUUGUACAAGAUGAAAGCUGUUACAGACAGCAGAAAUGCUGUUUCCUUGUGGAGGAAGCUACACUACAAAUUCAGCGUUCAAAGUUCUCAUGUUUCAUCCUAACAAAUUCCAUUACAUUAGGAAGAUUAGAAAAAUUGCAUUCUCUUUCCUUGGGCUGUGAAACUGUAAGCAAAGUAAACUCAUGCAGGGGGGAGGCGGAGGGGGGAUAUGAUAUUUUCCUUCCCAAGAUCAGAAGGCUCCAGAUAUUUGCACCUAGCACAAUGAAGAAAUGGGGGGCAUGGGUUGUAUCCAGUGAUAGUCUUACUCAGAGUAGACCCAUUGAAGUUAAUAGGAAUGCCUAACUUAUAUUCAUUCAUUUCAGUGGGUCUACUCUGAGUAGGACUUAGCUGAGUACAACCACAUGGGAUUGCAUAAAGAAGCCAACUUGAGGUCCUCAUUCUCUUUAGACCAUCUUUUACCAUAACAAGUGUGAAAUGGAAGGGCAUGAGCAGGAUUAUUAGCAACCGUUGAGAGAUUAUUUUUCUGAACAAUUGGUCUUGUUUGUGGAAAAGUUUUCAGGCAAAAAUGAAAAGGGGGAAGGAGAGAAGGAAAAUCCUGCCCCCCAAUGAUUUAUUAAUGGUUGAUUAUGCCAUUGAAAUGUCAUUAGUCAAAAAGAAAAUAAAACAGCUGAUUAUAACAAUGGUGCCACUAACCAUUUUUGGAGAACAUUUUUAAGAAUGUUGUACUUUUUCUUUGCUUGCUUGCAAGAAUGUUUACCUGUUCAUUUAAAUUUCCCACAAUUGCUUCUGCUACAAAUUGACUUCAUUUGCCCUUAGAGAAACCACAUAGCUAAAUCUGAUUGGCUUUGUAGACCGGCCUGCAGCCAGGGGGAUGGUGAAAUGGAGCAUCCCCCCAGAACUGUGCUUGGUCUUCCCCUAGGAUUUUUUUGAGAAAUUGUCUUCUUUUUAAUUUGUGACGUGACAGCCAAUGACAAUCCCACUUUCAAGAAUGACAGCUUGUUUUAAGGACAGGAGCAAUUUAAGAAUAUGACCCUCUGAAAAAUUCAGUGAAUAAGGCAGGUGCACAACAAAAGGCUCAUCUGGAAGAGCCACCAAAAGUCUGCUCACUCAAGACUUUUCCUGACUGUUUUCCUGAUCACAGUCACCUUAUAAUUACUUAAGUGAGCCCGAGAAAAUCAGCCUGUAUAGGAACAUGACCCUUAAAGAGUUAAAUAUCAGAACUUUGUAUUAUGGGUUAGAGUUAGACUCCACCCCAUGGACUUUCCUUUGCUCUGCUUUUCAGUUUCAGUUGUGCUGUUCACCCAGGUAGCAAUAAAGAAGCAUGUUUGUUUGCCUGUAGUAAGAAGUAAGAGUUUGUUCAUUCUGCAGUUAUUAUAGUGAGUAGCGCAGAAUUUGGUUCUUAUUGCUAAAGGGUGAAAUAAAGAGGAAAGUUAGUGAUAGGAAAAAAUGGCUACCAUUUACUCUUUUAAAGCAUUCACUAAACUCACAGUCGUACUGGCUAUUUUUUUCUUAUUGAUUACUUGAUGACAAAGUUUGGAAACAGCCCUAGAGGAAUCGAAAUAUUGGUGUGUACACUACAGUUGGCUAACUGGCUGGCUGGCUGGACACCUAGGCUGUAACUCAAGCCUAAUUUCUGAUAUUCCCAAUAUGAUCAGGUGAUCAUGAAGCCUUUUCAGGGUUUCUAGACAGAAAAAUCAACCUAGUAUCCAGUAAAAAACACACAACCCAAUUGCUUUCUACAAUUAGCAUCCAGCUGCUUAGUUCGUCCUUUAUAGAGCAGCCUGUUAAAACGUUUUCCCUUUAUUGUACAAAAGGAAAGAAAAUCUAAAGGUCAGGAGCAAGACUAGAAGGAGGGAAGAAGGCUCUCAAGGAGAAGUUAACAAACACACCCUACUAUAUUUAUUUUCUCUCUGCCCUUCUCUAAACUUGUAGUAUGGACAAGUUUGUUUUUCAGGUGGAAUCUAAAAUGGAGAUACCUAAUGCAGCAUCAAAACCACGCUCAGGAGUUCACUGUCUUUACCAAAAUAGCUCAUUUCAUGACGUAUCAGAACACAGGGACAGAACACAGGUGAAAGGGGAAUGUAGUUAUUGGCAAAGUCAAGCUUUUGAGUCUGGUAUUCCUGGGGGAUCUCUUAAAAAAGGGGUGAGACAAAUCAACAGAUUAAAGUUCAUUCACGUAAGUUAACCCACUCUCUGGAUGGAGAUCACUGUCUUUCUCUUCCCCUGGCCUGGCCCUCACAUCUUCUCCACCAGUGAGGGAAGAGGAUUGGCUGACACUAUGCACCUCUCCCCCCCCCAGAUGUCCCACUUAGAAAUGUGACUGCCUCACCUAACAAGGAUUGCUGGCUUCAGGGCUGUUUGUAGUAUAGUGACAUUAUUUAUUUUACUCUGUGUUCCCUGAUUGGUUGGGACCAAUUGGAUUUCAGCCUAAUUCAGGAAGGUGAAAGAUGCAGCAAUGAGAAGGAAAAUGGCAGCAUAGCAACAGCAGACAAGGGAAAUAAUGUGAUCCAAACAGGAUCAGAAGAUGUGGCCUAUGUUUUUGUGGGGAGGGAUCAUUGUACCCCUCCAGAUAUAUUUUUUUCUGGCUGAAAUAUGGAAAUCAGUGAAUAUUCAGCACACUCUAGUAAUUUGUACACAAUUUGUUUGGAUUCUAAGUGAUCAAAUAUUACAAUGAAUCAGUAUGGAUGAUAUAAAUGAGUGAUUUUGCGGGUAUUAGCUGGCAGUUAAAUUGGAGCUUAAUACCAAGCUCUGAAACUGGGCUUAGUAGUGCUAUUGAGAAGUCAGAGAGAGAUGGGAUCACUUGAAGGAUGGGCCAUUAUUAAUCUUACUUGGAAUCUGAUCCAUUGGCUCUAGGCAAGGCAAGGGCCUAAAUCUUAGUGGCAGAUCACAUGGAAAGUCCCAUGACUAGAUCUCUGGCAUUUCCCACUUAAAAAGAAGCUCAAAUAGUAGGGUUAAGGAAGACUCUCUCUACUUGAGAUCUUGGAGAGAUGUAGCCCCAUGUAAAAUAUCAUUUCUGAUCUUAAGAACAUUCCUACAUGAGUUGGAAAGCACUCUCUUUAAGGAGCUCAUACAGCCAAGAAAAUGCAAGACUGCCCAGGUUUAGAUUUCUAUCCCAGAUUCUUGAAGCCAACACACAACGACCGUAGCUGCAAUAUCUCUCUCCCCAACUCAGCUGUCCACAGCACACUCAGCAUCGUAAUCAUGCAAAUUAAAUACAAAUUUUUAAAAUUGCCCACAUUAAAAUGAUCCAUUAAUUUAAUAAGGCUCCAACACUUGUAGGGAACUAUUCUAAUUGCAUGAUCUUGCCAUUGGCACAUCUUAAAAGACCUGGCAGAUCUUGAAGAUAUUUACACCUCUGGGAUUAAUUUUAUUGUAAGGAAUUAACUUUUGGCAAAGCUCUGUUGCUGCUACUAGGAAAAAAAAGGUUGCUAACCUACUUUUUAAAAUUAUUAUAUUGCUGGAGAAAAAAAAAUGGAGUUGAAUAAAUUGCCUGACUAAAAUAUUAAGAACAUCUCCCUUUCCCCUGUCACAAAAAUGUUGUGUUUUUUUUAAAAAAGUGAACUGGUUAGACCAAACCACCCUGUAAAAUUCAUCCCCUCCUCCUCUCCCACUGCAAAUGUUCUGAUGGCUUCCGUGAUAUCACCUCUGCUCAACCAAUCACUGUGCAAUAACUAAAUCCUGAGGCAUAGAUUAUCAAUUUUUUCUCCUAGAUUAAGCAAUGGGGCUGAAAAUGAAGUCCUGCUUCACAUUUUAUUGCCAAACCACAGUUUGGCCACCAGGUCCAUAUUUCAGGCUCACACAUUCCCUCCUCCUCUCACAUACUUCAGUCCCCUUCUGGUUCACGCUAAUCAGAGCUUUCAGUUACAUCCAAAUUGAACAAACAUGUGAGGGCCACAAACCAUAGAGUACCUCCAAAUCAUAAACCAUAGGUUGCAGUAGGCUUCCAGUUCUGGCCUGAAGGUAAACAAUAGUUUUCCCAGUUCAAACAGCAAAGCAAGGGCGACCAAAAGACAGAGAAAGAACCAGAGUGCUAUGCAAAUGCUCAAGAUUAUUAUUAUCAAGCUAGAUCAGGGGUGGGGACAAUAUUUUCAGCCUGAGGGCCGCAUUCACUUGUAAGCAACCUUCUAGGGGCCACAAGCCAGUGGUGAGCGAGCCCAGAAGCAAAAACUCAGGGAGUACAAGAUGCUAAUGCUACCUCCGUACAGCAAGCUUGUUUCUGCACACACUCACGUCUCUGUCCUCCAUCAAGGCAUGCAAGAGUUAUUAUUAAAGCACCUUGGACAGCUCCUCAAAAGUUCAGUCUAAAACCUGGAAUGGAUUCACUGACCUGCUGACAUUGGAGCUACUAGUCUCCACUAUUAAAGAAUUCAAGGGCACAUUCUAGGCAGGUGAAAAAUACUUAAGGAGAGUGCACAGAAGGCUUCAGGAGAAAAGGGUGCGGCUAGGGAGGGGUAUAGUCUGGUGAGAUUCCCAAGGACCAGACAGAGAGCUAGAAGGCCACAUUCAGCCACUGGGUUAGAUGGUCCAAUGGACUGGGUCAGCAGAAAGGUCCUUCCUAAGAUCAUUUGUCCCACAAAAGGGCUUUAUUUAUUUAUUUAUUUGGUGCGGACCGUCAAGAAAAUUCCAUCACAAACACUGCUGCUCUCCUCCUCUUCCUCCUCCAUCCUCACAUGACCUGCCAGUCCUGAUUUGCAGCUUAGUUUGCUGCUCCUAGCAGAAUUUCCACCCCCCCCACUCCUGAACAGAAACUGGAGCAAAGUUUAGCAGAAAUGCAUGUUUGUCAUUGAACGGGGCUGAGAAGAAGGAAGAGGCGAAUGAUAAGAUCACAGCCUGCAGCGCUUUGUUUAUGAGAACAUCUUCCGUGUGAUAUAUGUCUGCACUAGGUGAAAGGAUGGUGUCACCCCCAACAUAUUUUAAAUGCUGUGACUGUCAGGCAAAAAGACAAUGAUGAACAAGUUUAUACAAAAAAUGCAGCACCCAGCAAGGAGCGUUUUCAUGUGAGGCGCCUGCUUCAAUUGAGUUUGCAAUGCAAAUUGUUUUCUUUUUUUAAAUAAAAAAGAAGGCAU